rfam:Haemophilus parahaemolyticus HK385 contig00003, whole genome shotgun sequence.
ACCAGUCUGGGGUGUGCGUUGUUGGUUACGUCCCUGAGCCGAUAAUUUAAAACUUUGAGUUGGACAUCCAGUUGUUGGUGAGCAUGCUUACUUUAAGUAAGAAGCCUAAAAACAAAUACGUUCGACUCCCUUGAACCUUCUGGUUCAAGGACUAUUACCGAUAGCGGCACUUCGGACACCUC